rnacentral:rRNA from 1 species
AUACGUAGGGUGCAAGCGUUAAUCGGAUUUACUGGGCGUAAAGCGCGCGUAGGUGGCUAAUUAAGUCAAAUGUGAAAUCCCCGAGCUUAACUUGGGAAUUGCAUUCGAUACUGGUUAGCUAGAGUAUGGGAGAGGAUGGUAGAAUUCCAGGUGUAGCGGUGAAAUGCGUAGAGAUCUGGAGGAAUACCGAUGGCGAAGGCAGCCAUCUGGCCUAAUACGGACACUGAGGUGCGAAAGCAUGGGGAGCAAACAGGAUUAGAUACCCUGGUAGUCCAUGCCGUAAACGAUGUCUACUAGCCGUUGGGGCCCUUGAGGCUUUAGUGGCGCAGCUAACGCGAUAAGUAGACCGCCUGGGGAGUACGGUCGCAAGACUAAAACUCAAAUGAAUUGGCGGGG